rnacentral:rRNA from 1 species
CCCUUAGAUGUCCUGGGCCGCACGCGCGCUACACUGAACGGAUCAGCGCGUUUUCCCUUCCCGAGAGGGACGGGUAACCUGCUGAACCCCGUUCGUGGUAGGGAUCGGGGCUUGCAAUUAUUCCCCGUGAACCAGGAAUGCCCAGUAAGUGCAAGUCAUAAGCUUGCGUUGAUUACGUCCCUGCCCUUUGUACACACCGCCCGUCGCUACUACCGAUUGAACGUUUUAGUGAGGUACUCGGACUGAGCCUCAGAAGAUUCACGUCUUUUGUGCUGCUCGGGAAGAUUCCCAAACUUGGGCGUUUAGAGGAAGUAAAAGUCGUANCA